GAUUUGGCUCAUGUUAUGUUUAUGUAUCAUCAUUAGCAUUGUUUAUUUUGUUGGAAAUCCAUUUUUAUAAUGAGUGAACACCGAAAUAUUUAGGUUGAUACAAACGUGGAAAAAACGUUUAGCAAGAAGGUAGAUAUAAAGGUAAACAUGAAGGUAGACAUAAAGGUAGACGUAAAGGUUAACACAAAAGUAGACCUAAAAGUAGUCAUAACGGUAGACAUAAAGGUAGACAUAAAGGUAAACAUAAAGGU